rnacentral:tRNA from 1 species
UCUAUUAUGGCAGAUUAGUGCAGUGGACUUAAACCCCACAUAUAAAGACUAUACUUUUAUUAGAA